AUUGAACCACUAGUUCCCAUAUGAUCACCAAAGUUAAGCAAUGUCAAGCCUGAUCAGUGCUUAGAUGAGUGAGUACUUGGAAAUACCAGUUGCUGUAAG